rnacentral:rRNA from 1 species
AACGCUGGCGGCAGGCUUAACACAUGCAAGUCGAACGAAGGCCCCUCUUCGGAGGGUGUCCUUAGUGGCGGACGGGUGAGUAACGCGUGGGAAUUUGCCUUUCGGUACGGGAUAACUAAGGGAAACUUUAGCUAAUACCGCAUACGCCCUACGGGGGAAAGAUUUAUCGCCGAUUGAGAAGCCCGCGUCGGAUUAGCUUGUUGGUAGGGUAAUGGCCUACCAAGGCGACGAUCCGUAGCUGGUCUGAGAGGAUGAUCAGCCACACUGGGACUGAGACACGGCCCAGACUCC